GACGAACGCUGGCGGCGUGCCUAAUACAUGCAAGUAGAACGCAGUUGCGAACGUGUGAGUAACGCGUAGGUAACUGCCUGGUAGCGGGGGAUAACUAUUGGAAACGAUAGCUAAUACCGCAUACUACCAGCUGGACCUGCUUUGUAUUAGCUAGUUGGUGAGGUAACGGCUCACCAAGGCAACGAUACAUAGACGAACGGGGAGGGGGAUCGGCCAAAAUGGGACGGGGACAAGGCCCAGAGUCCGACGGGAGGCAGCAGUAGGGAAUCUUCGGCAAUGGGGGGAACCCUGACCGAGCAACGCCGCGUGAGUGAAGAAGGUUUUCGGAUCGUAAAGCUCUGUUGGUAAGGAAGCGGUACUUAACCAGAAAGGGACGGCUAACUACGUGCCAGCAGCCGCGGUAAUAC
rnacentral:rRNA from 1 species